UGGGUCUGAGUGUCCCUGAGUCUCUAGAGCAGCUGCCUGGGGUUGUUAGUGCUUCUUGGUUUCAGAAACUAGCUCUGCUCCUGGCCCUGCUGUCACGGCCACCAGCACCCCCAGAAAGGGUUUCGGAUCAGAACCUUACCGAGGGCGCUGGACUUGCUCCCGGUGACCGUCCACAGGAGGCUUUCCCCUGGCCAGGCCUCACAUCACGGCGUCUCUGUCCUUGGGCGACCGUGUCACAGAGGCAGUGUAGGUCUCACGUCCAGAAUUCAAACCCUACCCAGCUCCCACUUCGGAGGCGCCUGGCCGUGUGCCUGUCGUGGGCCACCCUGGCCAGAGUCUCGGCGCUGGUAAGAUGGAAGUGAUACCAGCCACCCCAGACAGCAAAGCCCGGGGCAAAUCUUUGAGCUGGUUCAUGACAUGCAGCCAAGACACAGCAUGGGCAACGUGAGCGCAGUGCCACCAUCUAAGUGAAGCGUGUUUCUCUCGUGGACGGGAGCAUGGACGUGCACACACAUUUCCCACAUUCAGAGAGUGACAAGGAAACGGGUCUUAAGAAUAGGGUGGAAAUUAGCAGCUGCCAUUAAAAGUGGGGCGGACGGGGCUUUCCAGAGAGUGCAUGAGCCUGUGUUCAGACUCUUCCCUUUAGUUUUAUUCUCCUUCAGAAUGGACGGGGCUAAACACAGGCACACUUGUGGCUGGCUGCAUAUGUGGACACAUGAGGCCACCACAGAAUUCAUAGUGUGUCCUGACAUUCUAGUGCACUUAAUUCACACCGGGCAAGUGUAGAUGCCCUUAAUCCACACCGGGCAUCUUGACAUGUAAACCCUGUGGAGACCUGCUCAAUUCACAGAGUGUCCUGAUGUAUAGACCCCUGUGAUAGACCUAGUUAAUCCACACUGGGCAUCCUAGAAUGUAAACCCCUGUGUAGACCUACAUAAUUCACACCAGGUGUCCUGAUGUGUAGACCCCUGUGUAGACCUACCUAAUUCACACCAGGUGUCCUCAUGUAUAGACUGCUGUGAUAGACCCAGUUAAUCCACAUGGGGCAUCCUGGAAUGUCAACCCCUGUGUAGACCUACCUAAUUCACACCAGGUGUCGUGAUAUAUACACCCCUGUGUAGAACUACCUAAUUCACACUGGGUGUCCUGACGUGUAGACCCUGUGAUAGACACACUUAAUUCACACUGGGUGUCCUGACGUGUAGACCCUGUGAUAGACACAAUUCACACCAGGUGUCCUGACUUGUAGACUCUGUGAUAGACACACUUAAUUCACACCAGGUGUCCUGAUGUGUAGACCCUGUGAUAGACACACUUAAUUCACACCAGGUGUCCUGAUGUGUAGACCCUUUGAAAACCUACUUAAUUCACAUCCUGACGUUUAGACCCCUGUGCUAAAUGUGAAUUAAUUAACACUCAAGCGUCCUGGCAUACAGACUCCUUUGGGUAUUAUUUGUGUGCUCUCAAAGAGUUGCACAUUUUUAAGAAUAUUUUACAACAGAAAAGAUCACCUUUCAAAGCCUUUUUAUGGAAUUAUUUAAUUUGCAACUGUGAAUUACAAAAAAUUUUAAUAGCUUUAAUCUCUAGAAACAGGACCUAUAAAUGCUCAAAAACAAAGUCCGAUCAGGUAGGUGUUCUGGGUGUUUUCCCAGUGGUGAUUCAUGGAAGAAGAGUGCUGCUGAGAAAUCCCAUCUAGAAUGCUGUCUCCGCAGUGGUAAUGUUUGUAACGGUGUCAGGUCAGCACAGUCUCAGGCAGAGCUCACUGAAGACGGCUUCCAAGCUAAUGUGCGCUUCACCUACCUCCAGGCCCCAGCGAAUCCCAGGUGUGUUCCUUUGAGCUCAGCUUUCACAGCACCAAGGCACAGGGAAGCAGGAAACACCCAGUGUCAACCUGCAGUGCCCCUGUGGACUCGUAGGGCAGGAUUCCGGGACACAGGUGGUGGGCGCUUGGAGCCGUGGCUCCCCCACUGCGCAGUGUCGCUCAUCUGAGCCAGAUGGGGGCCAUGAAGGCAUCACCCACCCACGCACCCCCCCUCCCCGGGAGCUGGCUUCUCCCUUCUUAGGGCAGACGUGCCCGACAGCCACACAUGCCUGGUUCUCCCUGCAGAUGUGGAGGGUGCUGUGUGGGGCCGCAGGGAGGAAGCCAGCAGCAGCAGCAGAGCUUGAUUGAGGCGCCAGAGGAGGGUCGCCGUCCACCUGGCGGGGGCUGGCAGGAAGCUGAGGGCGGUUUUGGAGGAGAUGCCGGAACACAGCGGUUUCUGCCUGCUACUCCUGACUCCUCUGCUGGGUCAUUCAAGUUUUGUCAUUUUCUACUGUCCACAGACGAUGGCCUUGGUGGCCUCGUGCCGCCCCACCCUGCUCCCUGGCUCUGCGCUACCCUCUCUCCCACUCGGCUGGGCCCUUCCUCUCCACUGCUGCCUGUGGAGCUGGAGCCCUGUGAGGCCGCUUCGGUUUCCGAUCGGGAAGUCCUGCGCUGAGUGGGUCAUCAGGGUGGGUUUUGUGGGCUUGUUGCUGGUGUCCAGGGCCUUUUCAGAGCUGUGAGGGUUUUCCUACCAGGAAGCCCUCGAGCAGGAACUCAUAGACUGGGGUCAACAGGCUCUCAGGAGCGGCCUGAGUGCAGGUGGAGGGCCCUGCGGGGCCAGGAGAGUACUCGGAGGCCUUUCAUCUCAGCCUCCGAGGACCACAGAUACGCCCACGAGUUGACCGGUCUUCGCUCUUAACAGAGGUGGUUAGCGGCUUACUCUCCGGUUCAAGUGGAUGAGGUUGUGUAAUUUCAAGGGAGAACUACGUCCGGCAUAACCUCUUUUGCUGAGGACACUCAGGAAGGAGAGGCCCUCAGAAAGGGUGCGGUCUGGAAUCCAGGCAGGUAGCUGGCCUGACAGUGACCUUGACCCAGAUAAACCAAAGUGGAAUUCUCGAGCCUGGAAUGGAGGACUCAUAAUUGUUUUGGUGUAACAGCUCAGGAUGCGUGAAAAAAUGCUGUCUGAUUUGUAAAACGUAAGUUUACAGCUGAUUUUGGAGAAUACAUCUGUGGCGAUGUAUCUAUGUUUUCCUGAGGUGGAAGAGAAAAUGAUUUCUACCUUAAAAAAAUCCUGGCAGUUAAGACUUUUUAAGUGCCACGGAAGCUUGUUCUCUGCAAGUUUGCUUUUAUGAAAUCAAAGAAUGUGAAAGCCUUUUUCAAGGAAGAAGACGUCACAGGGGAUGACAGUGCCAGUGGAAUUAUUUUUAAGUUCUCAUCUGUUUGAUGGAAGUAGUUACCGGUGAUCAGUGAUCGAUAGAGUUCUGUUUCCUUCUUGAGGGAGAGACUUUGGGCAGUGUCAAAACCCAAAACGACAGCCCAGUGCGCCCCAUUCCCUGCUCCCUGUACUGUGCAGAGCUCCUCCAAGCCUGCCCUCCCCACACAGGGAAUCCUGAACUCCAGAGCUCCCCCAGGCCUGCCAUCCCCACAUUGGGAAUCCUGAACUCCAGAGCUCCCCCAGGCCUGCCCUCCCCACAUUGGGAAUCCUGAACUCCAGAGCUCCCCUAGGCCUGCCCUCCCCGCAGAGGGAAUCCUGAACUCCAGAGCUCCCCGAGGCCUGCCUGCCCUCCCCACACUGGGAAUCCUGAACUCCAGAGCUCCCCUAGGCCUGCCUGCCCUCACCAUGUGGGGAAUCCCAAACUCCAGAGCUCCCCCAGGCCUGCCUGCCAUCCCCAUGCAGGGAAUCCUGAACUCCAGAGCUCCCCUAGGUCUGCCUGCCCUCACCAUGUGGGGAAUCCUGAACUCCAGAGCUCCCGGAGGCCUGCCUGCCAUCCCCAUGGGGGGAUUCCCGAACUCUAGAAAGUGAUAGGUUGCCUCAUAGCUCCUUUUCCAGAUUCGUACUUUGGGCACAGAAUUCACGUGGUCCCCAGCUUUGCCCUCAGGAGGCUACAGAAUUAAAUCUUGGCUUAGCCUCUACUGUCCCUCCAUGCCUUCAGGAAAGCAGAGUCCUCCUGGCAAUUGGGUAGGAAAAAUGCCCUCUGCAAUCGUAGGUAUAGCCAAUGUUUUCAGGACUUUAUUUGUAUGAAUGAUUUCCAUGUUUCUUACAUUGGCAAGCUCUAAAACAACCCCGUGAGCCCACCAAUACUGAUUAUUCCCAGCAUAUUCAUGAAGAAGUGGAGGCUUAGAGCUCAGCCAUGUGCCUGAGGCCACAGAAGAGGAUAGACUAGUCCGUAGCCCCUGCAGGCUGGAGUGCAAUGGUGUGAUCCCGCCUCACUGCAACCUCCACCUCCCAGGUUCAAGUGAUUCUUCUGCCUCAGCCUCCCGAGUAGCUGGGGCUACAGGCACAUACCAUCACACCCAGCUAAUUUGUAUAUUUAGAGUAGAGAUGGGGCUUCACCAUUGUUGGCCAGGCUGGUCUUGAACUCCUGACCUCAGGUGGUCCGCCCACCUUGGCCUCCCAAAGUGCUGUGAUUACAGGUGUGAGCCACUGCUCCUGUCCAGGAGCACUUUUCUUAGCCCCUCUGGGUGCUCGUGCAUUUCCGGUGUCAGUGAUCCACCGUCCUGGCAUAAUUUUCUGUGUUUUGCAUCCCCGCUGCCCAAUCUUAAAUGAAAGACCCCAGUUCCGUGUGAAUGGCUUACUGUCCAAAGCAGAUGGGUGUCCGGUGUCCCCACCAUCUUCAGGACCAUCAGGUGGGCCCUGCAGUGCUGGAGCCGUUUCAGCUAAACACGAGCUGAGGCUUCAAACAGCUCGCAGGUGCUCCUGCGGGGGCCCAGGCUGCUGGCAGAGGACAGUGCCCGGGUUUGUCUCGGGGCCAGGUGAGGCCGUGUUCUUCCCUGUCUACACACCACACUGUGGGCGAGUAACACAAGCCAGAGACUGGCUUCCACAAGGGACAGGAGGCAGACGGGAACUCGAGGCUCAGACACUGGUGUGACGUUCCAUCUCAGGGUCAAAACCACAGCCAGGCAGCUGUGGGCUCUGGGUGUGGCAUCUGUCAUACAAGUGAGAACUGAAAAGAAUGACUGUCCUGUGUCCUUCAGCAAGGCGCAUAGCAUCUGUGAAGAGAGGUACUGAGGGCCACUUGGCUUUCCCGGAUCUCCUGCAGGAGGGAAACCACUUGGCUUUCCCGGAUCUCCUGCUGAGAAUCCCCAGGGCUGAGUACAUCUACCGAUCGUAUCACAGUUGAAGGGUCCAGCGUUACAUUACAUGAGUCUCCAGCAAAUAUUUAUAUUAAUACAAUUCCACGAAGAUGAGCAAAGGAUAACUGGCCACCGUUGUCAGCUUCCCAGCUCUAGCGUGUGCCGUCAAAUGCUCAUUUCAGUUUAUUUUAUCCAGAUGUUGCUGGUACGUCAGUGUAGUCAUGACGGUUUAUGUGAGUUCCUUGCGGUUAGUAUGCCUCACCAGGAGUUAAUAACCCUCCUUUGGGCUAUAUUAAUGGUCAGCACUAAGAACUUACUCUGUGAAAUGCAGAGAUUAUACAGCAUCAUGGGGUUCAGCUGCAGCCCUCAGCGCCCAGUUAGAAUAAAGCAAUUGAGGCCAGGCGCGAUGGCUCACACCUGUAAUCCCAGAACUUUGGGAGGCCAAGGUGGGCAGAUUACUUGAGGUCAGGAGUCCUAGACCAGCCUGGCCAACGUGGCGAAGCCCCGUCUCUACCAAAAAAUACAAAAAUUAGCCGGGCAUGGUAGUGGGCGCCUGUAGUCCCAGUUACUCAGGAAGCUGAGGCAGGAGAAUCGCUUGAACCCGGGAGGCAGAGGUUGCAGCGGGCCGAGAUUGCGCCAACACAUUCCAGCCUGGGUGACAGACAGAGUAAGACCCUGUGUCAAGAAAAGAAAAAGAAUAAAGCAAUCAUGCAGGUGUUUUCAAAUCCCAAAGCUAAACAGUAAUGUUCAAAUGUGGCAAGUCCGGGCCAGGCUCAGUGGCUCACGCCUGUAAUUCCAGAACUUUGGAGGCUCAGGUGGGUGGAUCACCUGAGGUCAGGAGCUCAAGAUCAGCCUUGGCAACAUGGUGAAACUCAGUCUCUACUAAAAAUACAAAAAUUAGCUGGGUGUGACAGGUGCCUGUAAUCCCAGCUACUUGGGAGGCUGAGGCACAAGAAUCGCUUGAAUCUGGGAGGCAGAGGUUGCAGUGAGGCAAGAUGGUGCCACUGCACUCCAGGCUGGGUGACAGAGUGAAACUUCAUCUCAAAACAAUUAAAAAAUGAUGGCAGGUCCAGACGUUAGCACAGCCUUCCAGGGUUGGUGGAAGUUGGUCUGCGCUUUUGGAAGGAUUGCAGAUGAUACUUUAUUUUAUCCCGUAAAUAUUACUAGAAGUCCCUCAUAUAACAUGGAAACUUUCACAACCAUAGAGGAGCAUCGUAAAUCUGCAGCUCACCACCACUGUCACGGUUCCCAGCCUGUGGCCAGCCUGUUUCAUCGGCACCUUCACUUCAGUUCCAAGGUCCUUUGGAAGGAGUCCUGGACAGCAUGUACUUUUCAUGUGAAUGCACUUCAGUAAAUGAAAGGUGGCAUUUUAAGUAGAAUCUUUUUUCAUUAACGUGACUUUGUUACUGAGUAAUAGAGAAAUUUGUGGAAAUGUUUAGUUAUAACAAAUGUGUUGGCCUGGGCGCCGGAAAACAAGGCUGCUCUCACAUGGGUGGCUAAGAUAUUUCUUUACUGUGUCCUAGAGUUAAUGGAGAGUAACUGACUUUUUCAUUAUGGCCCAUUUGAGAGAAAAUAUAUCUUUCUUAAACAUUUAAAAAGAUCGAUCACAUGUAUAAUGUUUGCCAAGUUGUAUAGACAAGAAAACUAGAACUCAGAAUCAUUAAAUAAUUUGCUGAAGUUUACAUGGUUUUUAAAUGGCAGGGCCAGGAUGUAAUGGGGGGGUCUGACUGUGUUUUUGAGAGUACGCUAAAGAGUAAAUACUUUAAGAAUUUCAUAGAGUACCUAAAUUGUCUUGAGAUGGGGUUAGCGAAUUGAGAAUUAAGAUUGUGGCUCUUGUUUUAAGGAAGAAAGUGCCUGUACUUCUAUUGGCAAUCUGGAGUUUUGUUUGCUUUCUUCUGAACAAGAAGCAAAAUAAAUGAAGAGCGAGCCACAUGCUCUUUACUCCAUCUCAGUGUGUGGCUACUUUUCCGUCCAGAGCUCUUGCCUUUUGCUUCUCAGUUUGGCUGUAUUCACAUGAAGAAAACCUGUGUGGCAGGCAGAGGAUGACCUCCCACAGAUGUCCACACUCUGAUCCACAGAACCUGUGACUGUGUCACCGUCCGUGGCCAGGGGAGUCAGGAUUGCCGAACAGCUGACGUGAAAAUAGGGAGGAGACUAUAGAACUGUUCACGUGGUCAAAAGUCAUCAGAGGCGCUCGUAAGCAGAAGAGCAGGCAGAACAGGGAGUGUCCAAGCCACCGCUGGCUUCAGAGGUUGAAGGGGACCAAGGGAUGGAGGCAGCCUCUGCCGGAAGCAGGAACGGCAAGAAAACAGUUUCUCCCGGGGCAUCCAGGAGGAAACUGGCCCUGCCAAUACCUUAAUUUUAAUGCCGUGAAACCCAUUGCAAAUUUCUGACCUCCAGAAUGGUAAGAUAAUAAAUUUGUGUUGUUUUAAGUCACAAAGUGGAAUUUGUUAGAGCAGCAUAGAAAACUCAUACACCUGGCCUAGCCACAUUGGGGCUUUAUAACACAGACUGCACAGAGACUGACGCAGUGUGCAAAGGACCCGUGAGCUUGUCACAUGUCUGUGGAACAUAGCCCUGGCUUAGCCACGUAGGAGAUGUAUAGUACAGACUGUACGGUGUGCAAAAGGAUCCGUGAGCUUGGGACGUAUCCACGGAAUCAUACCCCUGGCUUAGCCACAUUGGAGAUUUAUAACAGACUGCACAGAGAUUGAUGUGGUGUGCAGAAGAUCUGUGAGCUUGAGACGUGUCCACGGAAUCAUACCCCUGGCUUAGCCACGUUGGGGGUUUAUAAUACAGACCAUACAGAGACUGACAUGGUAUGCAAAGGAAAGCUUGAAACUUUCCAAACUGAAGAGCAAAGAGAAAUGAUGAAGAACAGAACUGUGGACAAUUACAAAAGGUGAAGCAGGCUGGGCACGGUGGCUCACACCUGUAAUCACGGCACUUUGGGAGGCCGAGGUGGGCAGAUCACCUGAGGUCAGGAGUUCAAGACCAGCCUGGUCAACAUGGUGAAACCCCAUCUCUACUAAAAAUACAAAAAAUUAGCUGGGCAUGGUGGCCCAUGCCUGUAAUCCCAGCUACUCAGGAGGCUGAGGCAUGAGAAUCGCUUUAACCUGGGAGGUAGAGGUUGCAGUGAGCCAAGAUUGUGCCACUGCACUCCAUCCUGGGCAACAAGAGUGAAAACUCCAUCUGAAAAAGAAAAAAAAAGUGAAGCAUAUAUGCAUAAUGGAAAAACCAAAAGAAGGAGGAAAGAAGGAACAGAAGAAACAUCUUCAGUGAAAGUGCUAUUUCCAAAAUUAGUGACAGAUGGCAAACCACAGAUCCAGGAAGCUCAGAGACAAAUACAAAAGCAAAACAAAUUUUUAAAAAAGGGUACACCUGGACAUAACAUGUUUAAAUUACCGAAAAUUAGACUCAGAAGAAAUCUUGAAAGAAGCCAGAGGAAAAGAACGUUUUACCUGCUGAGAAACAAGGGUAAGAAUUACACCAAAUUUCUUGCCAGAAACCGUCUAAGAAAGAAAAGAAUAAUGUGAAAAAUUUAAAGUGUUAAGAAGGCCACCAAACCAGAAUUGUCUGUCUCGUAAAAUUAUUCUUCAUACAUGCAGGAGAAAUAAAGACUUUCUCAGAAAAGCAAAUGUUGAGGAAAUUCAUCGCCAGUAGACCACCCUCGCAAGAAAUGUUAAAAGAAGUUCUUCAGGAAGAAGGAAAAUUACAUAGGUCAGAAAUUCAGGUCUGUAAAGAACAGAGUGUUAAAGUGUGAGUUAUUUGUGCUGUUGCAACAGAAUACCACAGACUGGGUGAUUUGUAGAGAAGAGACAUUUAUUUCCCCACAGUUCUGGAGGUUGGGAAGUCCAAGAUCAAGGCACUGGCAGGUCUGGUGUCUGGUGAGGGCCCAGUCUCUGCUUCCAGGAUGGCCCCUUAGUCACUGCAUCCUCUGGAGGGGAGGAAGGCUGUGUCCUUACGUGGCAGAAGGUGAAAGGGCAAAGGGGUAAACUCCCUCUGCCAAGCCCUUUUAACAGGCACCUAAUCGCAUUCAUGAGAGAGGAGCCCACAUAGCUAAAUCACCUGUGAAAGGGCCCACAUCCCAGGACUAUGACUAGUUGUCUCACUGGCAACACCUGAAUUUUGGAAGGGACACAUUCAAACCAUAGCAGGAAGGAAUAAGGGAAGGUCAUACAAUUAAAUAUUUUGCUUCUGUUUUGUUUUGUUUUUUUCUUUCAGAGACGUGGUCUCACCAUGUUGCCCAGGCUGGUUUAGAACUUCUGGGCUCAAGUGAUGCCCCUCCCCAGCUUCCUGAAGUGCUAGGAUUACAGGCCACGGCACCCAGCCUUCAUUUUGUGUUCUUAAUUGGUCUAACAGAGAGUACUUUAUUCAGAAUGCUAGUACUUGUCCAGUGAUGACUGCUCUGGAAUGAAUGAAUGUACGACAGCAGAAGAGGGAACUGGGCGUGCCCUUGCCCGGAAUCUGGGUUACAUGAGAGCGGACGCAGAUGAGCUGUACACACGUACUGCAACUUCUAGCGCAACCACUAAGUAAUUAAAAAAAACAAGUAUAGUUCAUAUUCUAAGACAGGAGAGAAAAUUCUCACAUAGAAUGCUCAAUUAAAACCCAAGAAGGCAGGAAAAGAAGUCACAAAAGAAACAAAGACUGUGAAGAAAGGAGUAAAAGUCAGUUACAAAUACAGUAAAUAUUAAUGCAGCUAUAGUAAUAAUCCCUCUAAGUGUGAACUGUCUAAAUACACCAGAUAAAGACAGAAACUGUCAAAAUAGAAAAAACAAGCCCUCACCAUAUGUCAUGUGCAAGAAAGCCACUUUAAAUAUAAAAACACAGAUUUAAGGGAUAGAGGAAGAGCUCCCAUGCUAUUGUUACUCAAAGGGACACAAGAUUAGGUCUAUUAACUUCAGACAAAGCGACUUUAGGACAAGAGAAGUUACCAGGGAUAAAGGGGCAUUGCAUAGUAACAAAGAGGUCAGUUCUCCAAGACAACGUAACAAUUCUUUUUUUUUGGGGGGGGGGGGAGGAAGGAAGGGAAUAAGGACUGUAGGGAGGAAGGAAGGGAUGAAGGAAGGAAGGAAGGGAGGAAGCGGGGAGGGAGGGAGGGAGGGAGGGAAGGGAAGAAAGGAAAUCAAGCAAUGAAAGAGACAUUGCCGACCUGGAUCUAGAGGUUUACAAGUUGAUUUCUUUUUUUUUGAGAGAAGGAAAGAAAAAAGAAGACUCAAAACAAAGGGAUGGAGAAAGAUUUACCAACCAAAUGGAGAGCAAAAAUAAAUAAUAAAUAAAUAAAAAGCAGGAGUUGCAAUUCUUGUAUCGGAUAAAAUAGAUUUUAAAGCAACAAAGAUAUAGUGGUAAAAGGAUCAAUGCAACAACAAGAGCUAACGAUCCUAACACCCAGAUAGGAGACUUAGAUUCAAUGAGACAGAAAAUUAAUAAGGAUAUCAAGGACUCGAACUCAGAUCCAGAACAAGUAAACUUAAUAAAUAUUUAUAGAGCUCUCCACUUCAAAUACACAAAAUAUACAUUCUUGUCAAUACCACAUCACACCCACCCAUUAGUUUAAAUGAAACAUUGAUUGGCCAUUAUUAAUACCCAAUUUUUUUCAAAAUAACGUAACAAUUCUUAAUGUCUCUGUAACAACAGCAGGUGAAAACAUGUGAGGCAGAAACGGAUAGAACUGGAAAGAGACAGAAAAUCCACUGUUAUAGUUGGAGACUUCAUCACCUCUCUUCACAGACAGAACAUCAGUAAGGCCACCGUUAAACACAACAGCACCAUCAGUCCCUUGGACCUAAUGGACAUUUGUAAAAUACUUCAUUCAGCAAUAGCAGACCCCACAUUCUUCUCAAGUUCACAUGGAACAUUUGCCAUGACAGAUCACAUUCUGGGCCAUAAAAUACACCUUAGCACAUUCUCAAAGAUUAGAAGUCAUACCAAGUAUUCUUUCAGACCACAGUAGAAUUAAACUAGAAAGAAAGAAAUAAAAUUAACUCGAGAAUCACAAAAUAUUUGGAGAGUGAACAAAACACUGCUAAUAACACAUGAAUCAAAGAAGUCUCAAGAUACAUAAAAAUAUUUUAAGCUAAGCAAAAAUUAAAAUAUAACUUAUCAAAUCUUGUGGCAUGCAGGAAAAGCAGUGCUUAGAGGGAAAUUUAUAGUAUCGAUCACAUAGAUUAGAAAAGAAGAAAGAUCCAAAAUCAACAAGCUUCAACUUUAGGAAACUAAAAAAAAAAAAAAAAGAAGAAUGGAUAAACAUUAGAGCAGAAAUUAAUGAAAUCAAAAACAGGAAAUCAGAGAAAAUUUUAAAAUCAUAAGCUGGUUCUUUGAAAAAGAUCAGGGAAAUUGAUGAAGCUCUAGCCAGGCUAAACAAGGGAAAAAGAGAAGAGACACAAAUUCCAAACAUCAGAAAUCAAAGAGGGGCGUCACGACUGGUCGCAUGGCUAAUAGAAAGGUUAAAGGGGUAUUAUGAACAGCCCUGCACAUAAACUUGAUAACUUAGAUAAGAUUGACCAGUUUUUUGAAAAGCACUAUCUACCAAAACUCAAACAAGGAGCAAGAUAAUCUGGGUGAGUCUACAGCAAUUAAAGAAAUGGAAUCAAUAAUUAAUAAUCUUCCAAAAUGGAAAGCACAAGUCCCACAUGUUUUCACUGGUGAAUUCUGCCAAGCAUUUCAGGAAAAAAAAAAUCAAUUCUCAGCAAUCGCCUCCAGGAAUGGAAGCAGAAGGAACACUUUCUAAUUCAUUCUGUGAGGCCAGCAUCACACUAAAACCAAAACAAGAAAAAGGUAUUACCAGAAAGGCAAUACCACAGACCAGUAUUUCUCAUGAACAUAGAAGCAACAAUUCUCAAUGAAAUAUUAGCAAAUCGAUUUCAAUGUGUAAAAAGAAUUAUGCACUGCGACCAAGUGGGAUUUAUCCUAGGUAUGCAAGGCUGAUCCAACAUUUCAAAGUCAGCUAAUAUAAGACAUAAUAUUUACAGGCUAAAGAAGAAAAGUCACAUUAUUAUAUCAAUAGGUGCAGGAAAAGCAUUUGAGAGAAGUCAGUACCCACUCAUGCAUUGCAGCGAACUAAGAAUAGAGGGGAAUUUCCUCAGCUUCAUAAAGAACAUUUACAAAAAGCCGUAUAGUUGACGUCAUACUUAGUGGUGAAGAAGUAGAUGAUUUCACCCUAAGAUUGGAAAAAAGGCAAGGAAUCCCUCAUCACUGUUCCUUUUCUUUUUCUUUUUUUUUUAUUUUUGAGACAGAGUUUCGCUCUUGUUGCCCAGACUGGAGUGCAAUAGUGUGAUCUCGGCUCACCGCAACUUCCGCCUCCUGGGUUCAGGCAAUUCUCCUCCUUCAGCCUCCCAAGUAGCUGGGAUUACAGGCACGCACCACUAUGCCCAGCUAAUUUUUUGUAUUUUUAGUAGAGACGGGGUUUCACCAUGUUGACCAGGAUGGUCUUGAUCUCUUGACCUUGUGAUCCACCCACCUCGGCCUCCCAAAGUGCUGGGAUUGUAGGCGUGAGCCACCGUGCCCGGCCAUCACUGUUCCUUUUCAACAUUGUACUGGAAGUCCUGGCUAAUACAGUAAGAGUAGAAAUGGGAAUAAAAAGCAUACAAUUGGGAAGGAAGAAAUAAAGAGUUUGUUCACGAGUGAUCGGUUGUCUAUGUAGAAAAUCCAAAGAACUGACAAUAACAAAAAAACUUCUGGAUGUUAGAGGCAACGAUAGUACGGUUGCAGGAUUCAAAAAUUAAUCACUCCCCUAUAUGCCAGCAAUGAACAACUGGAGUUUGAAAUUUAAAACUCAGCACUAUUUACAUUUAUCCCCCCACCCACCAAAUUACACAGAUAUGAAUCUAGCAAGGUAUGUACAAGAUCUAGAUGAGGAACACUGCAGAGCUGUAAUGAAAGAAAUCAAAGAAGAUUUAAGUCAGUGGAGAGGUGUUUCAUGUUCAUGGAUGGGAAAACGCCAUGUUUUUAAGAUGUCAAGACUUCCCAUCUUGACCUAUGGAUUCAGUACAACCCUAAUCAAAUUCCCAGCAAGCUACUUUGUAGAUAUCAGCAAACUGAUUCUACGUUUAAAUGGGAAGGUGAAAGACCCAGACUAGCCUGACAAUACUGAACCAAGUUGGAGAACUGAUACUUGACCACUUUAAGACUUACCGUGAAACUGCAGUAAUCAAGACAGUGUGGUGUCGCUGAAAGAAUUGACACGUAGAUCAGUGAAAGAGCAUAGAGUGCCUGGGAGGAGAUGCACCCGGUGAAUUCACCCAGAUAGUCAAUCCAUCUUUGACAAGGGAGCAAAGGCAAUUCAGGGCGGACAGAAAAGCACUGUUUCUUUUCAACAAAGGGUGCUAGAAAAGCUGGACAUGCAAAAACCCCCAACGACAGUGACUCCAGACAGUGAGCAUACACCGUUCAAGAAGAUUAACUCUGAAAGCUUCGUCUCUUGGGGCAAAAAAAAGAAAAUGAACUCAAAAUGAGUCACAGACCUACAUGUAAAAUGCAUAAUAAUGAAACUCUUAGAAAUGUAGGAGAAAGUCUAGGUGACCGUGGGUUUGGCAACAGGUUUUUGGAUAUAACACCAAAAACUCUGUUCACGGAAAAAUUGGUAAGUUGGACUUCAUGAAGAUUAAAAACUUAACGCUUUACAAAAUACAGUUAAGAGAAUUACAAUAUGAGCCACUGACUGGGAGAAGAGAUUUGCAGAACACAUCUCUGAUAAAAACCUGGUAUCAGACAACACAUGGAAAAUAAUGGUGUUUGGAUGGGUAGGGCGGGAUGAGUUAGGGGGGCCCAGAGGCCCUUUUAUUACAGUCAGCUGGAGAAGGGAGCUGAAACUAGGGCCAUAGUGUCAUGAACAAGGGGAGCCACUUUUUAUCCUCAUUAAGGAACUUUAUUAUGAAAGUCGAAAUCACUUUGUAAAUGUGAAUUAGAAUAGAAAAUGGAAAUUCCUUAUAUAAUCUCUAAGCCAUUGGAAACUUGAGGCAAAGAAGUUUUAAAACAAAACACAUGGAUUUCCUCUGAAAUAUUUGUAAACACCGCAUUCGGAAUAUGUUGGAUAGUUUAGGACCGUACCAGGCUUUAUCUGUUACGUUGAAUUGUAAAUAACUUACGUUCAUGAGCCCGGAAUUAAAGAAUCUGACAACUACUUCUGGCUUCCCAGAGCCAGAACCCACCUCGGAAUGGGAUUUUGAAAUGCGUGCCGUUGAAGAACACACAGAUGGCAGAG